GGCCGGAUAAGGCGUUUACGCCGCAUCCGGCUAUGGUGCCUGAUGCGACGCUGAGGCGUCUUAUCAGGCC
rnacentral:ncRNA from 1 species